GCCUGGGUGGCUCAGUCGGUUGGGCAGCCGACUUCGGCUCAGGUCACGAUCUCGCGGUCCGUGGGUUCAAGCCCCGCGUCGGGCA
rnacentral:tRNA from 1 species